CUACCAUGGCAGUCACGGGUAACGGAGAAUUAGGGUUCGAUUCCGGAGAGGGAGCCUGAGAAACGGCUACCACAUCUACGGAAGGCAGCAGGCGCGCAAUUUGCCCAAUCCCGACACGGGGAGGCAGUGACAAGAAAUAACAACUCUAGGUUUUCUUAGAAGUGUAAUGAGGAUAAUUUACAAACCUUACCAAAUGCAAUUGGAGGGCAAGUCUGGUGCCAGCAGCCGCGGUAAUUCCAGCUCCAAUAGCGUAUAUUAAAGUUGUUGCAGUUAAAAAGCUCGUAGUUGAAAAUCUGAUUGCUCAGGUCUCCAGCCUUUAGGCGGGGAUUCUGACAGUCAUCCGCUUGCAAACAUAUGUUCGAUCUUCACCGGUUGGCUAUGUGAGUAAGCACUUUACCUUGAGAAAAACAGAGUGUUCCAGGCAGGUUUGUCCGGAAUGCAUUAGCAUGGAAUAAUAGAACAUGACUGAAGUCUAUUUAUUGGUUAAAGGCUUUAGUAAUGAUUAAUAGGAACAGUCGGGGGCAUUCGUACUCAGCAGUCAGAGGUGAAAUUCUAAGAUUUGCUGAAGACGAACUAAUGCGAAAGCAUUUGCCAAGGAUGUUUUCAUUAAUCAAGAACGAAAGUUAGGGGAUC
rnacentral:rRNA from 1 species